rnacentral:hammerhead_ribozyme from 1 species
AUCUAGCUGACGAGUCUCAAAUAGGACGAAAUGCGCAUCCUGGAU